rnacentral:rRNA from 1 species
GUGGGGAAUAUUGGACAAUGGGCGAAAGCCUGAUCCAGCAAUGCCGCGUGAGUGAUGAAGGCCUUAGGGUUGUAAAGCUCUUUUACCAGGGAUGAUAAUGACAGUACCUGGAGAAUAAGCUCCGGCUAACUCCGUGCCAGCAGCCGCGGUAAUACGGAGGGAGCUAGCGUUGUUCGGAAUUACUGGGCGUAAAGCGCACGUAGGCGGUUACUCAAGUCAGAGGUGAAAGCCCGGGGCUCAACCCCGGAACUGCCUUUGAAACUAGGUAACUAGAAUCUUGGAGAGGUCAGUGGAAUUCCGAGUGUAGAGGUGAAAUUCAUAGAUAUUCGGAAGAACACCAGUGGCGAAGGCGACUGACUGGACAAGUAUUGACGCUGAGGUGCGAAAGCGUGGGGAGCAAACAGGAUUAGAUACCCCUGUAGUCC